GGAGAGCUGGCCGAGCUGGUCUAAGGCGCUGGACUCGAAAUCCAGUGUACCGGUAACGGUACCGUAGGUUCGAAUCCUACGCUCUCCG
rnacentral:tRNA from 1 species